CCCCUACGGGGGGCAGCAGUGGGGAAUAUUGCACAAUGGGGGAAACCCUGAUGCAGCGACGCCGCGUGAGCGAAGAAGUAUUUCGGUAUGUAAAGCUCUAUCAGCAGGGAAGAAAAAUGACGGUACCUGAGUAAGAAGCACCGGCUAAAUACGUGCCAGCAGCCGCGGUAAUACGUAUGGUGCAAGCGUUAUCCGGAUUUACUGGGUGUAAAGGGAGCGCAGGCGGUGCGGCAAGUCUGAAGUGAAAGCCCGCGGCUCAACCGCGGAAUGGCUUUGGAAACUUUUUUGCUGGAGUACCGGAGAGG
rnacentral:rRNA from 1 species